rnacentral:sRNA from 1 species
GUCUUGCGAUAGGGAUUGAAGUGGAAAUCCUUUUUAUCACGCCAUUAGCGUGAUAAAAAGAUUGUAGCGUAAAGCCCGACCAACC